rnacentral:tRNA from 1 species
GGUGGCUCAGUUGGUAGAGUGCUUGCCUUAUAUGCAUGAGGUCCUGGGUUCGAUUCCUCAGCACCA